GACGAACGCUGGCGGCGUGCUUAACACAUGCAAGUCGAACGGAAAGGCCCUGCUUGCAGGGUACUCGAGUGGCGAACGGGUGAGUAACACGUGGGUGAUCCGCCCUGCACUUCGGGAUAAGCCUGGGAAACUGGGUCUAAUACCGGAUAGGAGCCAUUUUUAGUGUGAUGGUUGGAAAGUUUUUUCGGUGUAGGAUGAGCUCGCGGCCUAUCAGCUUGUUGGUGGGGUAAUGGCCUACCAAGGCGGCGACGGGUAGCCGGCCUGAGAGGGUGGACGGCCACAUUGGGACUGAGCUACGGCCCAGACUCCUACGGGAGGCAGCAGUGGGGAAUAUUGCACAAUGGGCGCGAGCCUGAUGCAGCGACGCCGCGUGGGGGAUGACGGCCUUCGGGUUGUAAACUCCUUUCGCUAGGGACGAAGCUUUUUGUGACGGUACCUAGAGAAGAAGCACCGGCUAUCUACGUG
rnacentral:rRNA from 1 species